rnacentral:rRNA from 1 species
UACGUAGGGUGCAAGCGUUGUCCGGAAUUAUUGGGCGUAAAGAGCUCGUAGGCGGUUUGUCGCGUCUGCUGUGAAAACUCGGGGCUCAACUCCGAGCUUGCAGUGGGUACGGGCAGACUAGAGUGCGGUAGGGGAGACUGGAAUUCCUGGCGUAGCGGUGGAAUGCGCAGAUAUCAGGAGGAACACCGAUGGCGAAGGCAGGUCUCUGGGCCGAUACUGACGCUGAGGAGCGAAAGCGUGGGGAGCGAACAGG